rnacentral:rRNA from 1 species
UACGUAGGGUGCAAGCGUUGUCCGGAAUCACUGGGCGUAAAGCGCACGUAGGCGGCUUUUUAAGUCAGGGGUGAAAUCCUGGAGCUCAACUCCAGAACUGCCUUUGAUACUGAGAAGCUUGAGUUCGGGAGAGGUGAGUGGAACUGCGAGUGUAGAGGUGAAAUUCGUAGAUAUUCGCAAGAACACCAGUGGCGAAGGCGGCUCACUGGCCCGAUACUGACGCUGAGGAGCGAAAGCGUGGGUAGCGAACAGG